UCCAAGAGAGAUGGUGCUACUGUUUCAACACACCACCGAUGUAUCCGCCAAUGGAAGUCAGUUUAUAUCAGGUGCGGCUGGAAGCUGGUGAAGCUGCUUCAUCACACCACCGGGGCCCACCACUGGACUGAACUGAUAGGAGGGUGCAGCGACGCUCGAGACCAAUGAUCUCUGGUCCGCCAGUCAGGAGACUCUGAACGGUGCAGCAGUACAGGAGGGAGUGUGGCGCCGGUAUACAGCUGACACCAGACGUCCGUCCAUUGGCCAGUCACCACGGAACCAGCGAGAUUAGGAAUCACAUUUGGACGAA